AAAAAAUUAGUUAAAUAUAUAACAUUAGUAUGUCAAACUAAAAUUAUUAAUCUAUUAAUAUUUUUUA
rnacentral:tRNA from 2 species